CUCAAAGAUUAAGCCAUGCAAGUGGUUAUCAACCAUACAGUUUAAAUUAGUGUUUAAUUAAAAAAAUAAAUAUAAAAGUGAAUUUUAAAUUCACUAAUGCAACCGCAGACAGCUGUUUAAUACAGUCACACUUGUCUUGACUUGGCACAUUACAUAUACUAUUAAUAUGUUACAAACAUAUCCAAAUGUUUAAAAACACACACAUAAUUUUGGAUAACUAAGGGAAAGUUUGGCUAAUACGUACGAGAUACAAUUUAAUAAAGCAUAUUUAAAUGUAUUCGAAUAUUAUAACACACACACAUUUAAUAAACCGAAUACAUAUUGCUUUUACAAACACAAUAAAAACCACCCAAAUAAAUAAACUCAGCACUUAUUGGAGAGUAAAAAAGGCAUUUAUACUUCGGUAUAAUGUUUUAUAUAAUACUCAAUGCAACAUGAAAGACAAUAAGCACGCAUUAAUUUAAUAAUGCUGAGCAGACUUUAUAAAAUAUAUUUAUUUUAUGAAGCAGGUCAUACAAGCAUCUAUAGCAUCAAGUCACAGGGUUGGCAAGUGUAUUUUUGAACCUUCAAAGCAGUCACGCAUACGGAAGAGUAGUUUCUGAUCCCAUAGAAGGAGCACCGUACAAUGAGAGACCGCUCUUAGUUCUAAGGAACGCAGCAGGCGCGUAAAUUGCCCAAUGAUAGUGCAAUUAAAAAAAUAAAAAAAUUAAAACACAUGCAAAAUAUAUAAUAUUAAUCCUUGUAUAUUGUCCUCAUUAUUAAAUAAUGAAUAUAAAAUUUUAUUUUUAUUCAUUGAGGCAGUGACAAGCUGUAACGGUUGAGUGUUAAACAAAGAAAGUAUCUGGCAUUGUCGCUUAACUUCGGUUUGGCUUGACAUUUCGCCGAUGCUUUAUAUGCUCAAUUGGAAUGCUGUGAGUGUAAGUAACUCAGAACCAUUAAUUGAUGUAUAUAUUAGUUUAUAUGCAUUAAUUGAUUAUCUGAAUUUUCAAGUGGAGGGCAAGUCUGGUGCCAGCAGCCGCGGUAAUACCAGCUCCACUGGCCUAUACAAUCAUUGUUGCGGUUAAGAGGCUCGUAGUUGGAUUGAAUAAAAAAAUAUUAAUUAAUAGACAUAUAUAUAAAAAACCAAUAUUUUCAACACUGUGAACAAAUCAGAGUGUAUCAAACAUGUUAUUUAUAUUGCGCAUUGAAUGUCUUAUCAUGGAAUGUUGCAAUAAUAUUAAAUAAUAUUAGUAUAUCAAAACACAUAAAUUUAAUGAUAUACAAAAUAUAUAUAUAUUAUGUCGAUGGGGAUAGUUGGAGUCAAGAGUACUGCUGGGCGAGCGGUGAAAUGCACUGACCCUAGUAAGACUACCAGAAGCGAAAGCGCUUGACUAGGCUAUACCUUUUGUGUUGUUGUAAUAUUAUUAUAUAUACACACAUUUUAAUAUAAUAUUACUAUUAUAACACUUUACAAUGAAGAACGAAGGUGGGAUCAAAGAGGAUCAGAUACCCUCGUCGUCCCAUUCAUUACAUCAACGAUGGGAUCUCAAUUGCAUAUAUAUAAUUCAUAUAUGUAAAUGACCUCAACCAGCAAAUUUUUAAAGCUUGAGCAAUUUAUUGCUCGCUUUUUAUUUUUGCAAAUGGUUUUGUAGUGACAUUUCAUUAUGAAUCCAUUAAAUUUUAAAUUUGUAUUAUUGUAUAUUUUUAUACAUUAUACAUUGAAUUUCGGAGCUUUGCGCUCAAUUGGUAAGAUGUAAGCACAUUGUAUAUUGCCCUUAUUGUUAAAUAUUAUUAUCUUCGGAUAUUUAAUAUUUGUUCAAUAAAGUGUGUAAAUAUACAUUUUAUAUUGUGUGAAGCACGUGUUAGGCACGCGCUUACUGCAGAAAUGUUUAAGACAUUACCCUCCUGGGGUAGUAUGCACGCAAGUGUGAAACUUGAAGGAAUUGACGGAAGGGCACCACAAGAACGCGUGGAGCAUGUGGCUUAAUUUGACUCAACGCGGGAAAUCUUACCGGGUCCGGACACACUGAGGAUUGACAGGCGAUAAUAUAAAUACUUCGGUGUUUAUAUAUAAAUAUGAUAGUCCUUUCAUGAUUAUGUGAUAGGUGGUGCAUGGCCGUUCUUAGUUCGUGGAGUGAUCUGUCUGCUUAAUUGCGUUUCAAAAUGAACUAAGAAUAAAGUAUUGAUAUUGUAUAAUUUAUUAUACUAUUAUCAUGCUUUUAAACAAAGUUCAGAAAGCAACGAACGUGACCGUAACCUCUUGUUGCCUUUUCAAAAUUUUAAUAUAAUGUGAAUUAUAUUUUAAGAAUAAAGGCUUUAAAACUAGAGGAACCGCUGUCUUACUUCUUAAACCAGAGGAAGGUUGCGGCAAUAACAGGUCUGUGAUGCCCUCAGAUGUUCCGGGCUGCACACGUGCUACAAUGAUCAUAGCAGUGAGCAUCUAAUGUAAACAUUUGAAAUAAUACUUUAUAUACUUUGGUAUGUAUUGUAUUUUAUUUUAAAUAUAGCCUAUUUCGAAAGUAAAUAGGUAAUCAAUUAAAAGUCGUGAUUUCCAUAAAACACAUUUAUAAAAUAAAAUUUGAAGAUAUUUAAUAUUCAUAUUAAAUUAUUGGAUAUUUUGUUUGUGUUAUUAAUUAAUUCAAGGUGGGGACAGACCAUUGUUAAUUGUUGGUCUCGUUUUUAACUAGGAAUGCCUUGUACUGGUCUUUGGUUCAACAGACCACCAGGAAUACGUCCCUGCCCUUUGUACACACCGCCCGUCGCUCUUACCGAUGGACUUCUUUGUGAGUUUGAGGGACUGGAAUAUUUUUAUAUUCUAUGGAAACUUAAACAAACAAUGUGGUCUAAAGGAAAGAGAAGUCGUAACAAGGCAUCGGUAGGUGAACCU
rnacentral:rRNA from 1 species